rnacentral:rRNA from 1 species
UAUGUGAUCGUCUCUCGCAUAUCAAUAAGCGGAGGAAAAGAAACUAACAAGGAUUCCCCUAGUAACGGCGAGUGAAGCGGGAAGAGCUCAAAUUUGAAAUCUUAAAGGGUUUCCCUUUACGAAUUGUAGUUUAAAGAAGUGUUUUCUGUUGAGGUUUUGGUAAAAGUUCUUUGGGAUAGGACAUCAUAGAGGGUGAGAAUCCCGUAUUUGACCUUUACUUUCAACUUUGUGAUACACUUUCAAAGAGUCGGAUUGUUUGGGAAUGCAGUCCAAAAUGGGUGGUAAAUUUCAUCUAAAGCUAAAUAUUGGCGAGAGACCGAUAGCGAACGAGUACCGUGAGGGAAAGAUGAAAAGAACUUUGAAAAGAGAGUUAAACAGUACGUGAAAUUGUCAAAAGGGAAGCGUUUGACACCAGUGUUGUUUUUCUGAAAAUCAAUUAAAGAACUGUUUAUGCUAAGCUGUUUAGACUUUAUCAGCUAAUCUGUUUAGUUUUGAGCUUUUCUUUAAUGCACUUUUCAGUUAACAAGUCAACAUCAAUUUCUUUUGCUGUAAAAAAGCUUGAGGAAGGUGGCUUGAGAUUCGUCUUAAGUGUUUAUAGCCUCUUGCCUAUGCAGUCGGAGAGAUUGAGGUCUGCAGCGUAGAUCCUUCGGGGCUAAAUGCAUUUGUGCUAAGUUAUAGCAUUUUAUAGACAACUUGUUGACUAUGAUUUGUCUUGUAGCUUACUCGCUUAUGUUAUUUUACCUACGCUUAGGAUGUUGAACGCGCACAGAGUCUCA